rnacentral:tRNA from 1 species
AGGGGCAUAGCUCGGUGGUAGAGCAUGUACUUAGCAUGCAUGAGGUCCUGGGUUCAAUCCCCAGUACCUCCA